GUGUUAUUUUGUGUCAUGUAUUUUUGUAGUAGUGAGCCUACGGGUAUUGUUGCCCAUGUUAUUUUAUGUACAUUUUGGUUUUGAAGUUCGUUGUUUGUUUAUUAUUUUAUUAAAACAACUCCAGUGAUACAGAGUUGGUUUCUCCUGCGCCUGACUUCCCUGCCACCUACACACACGGCGAUGACACUAUCCAACACAACAGUGGAACUCUUCCAAGUCCAGCCCCUGCACAAACCGCAACACCAGCCCCAACCCCUGCUGGACAUUAACCAGGUGUCUGAGGAACAUGAUCGAGAGGAGCGCUCAGCUAGUGAUGAGAUGUUCAGGGGUAAUGGGCGUGGUUUGGGAGGGUUUUACCGCUAUCAGCCGCCACAGUACCCAUCAUACUUCCCUUAUGCCCAGCCUCCCCAAAGUAACUCCGCCCUGAUGGCCCUCCUGCCCUUCCUAUUGGCCAGACUCGCUGCCACUCCUGCCGCAACUCCUGCUGCAGCUCCCGCCCCCGCCCCAGCUCCUGCCGCAGCCACACCAGCCCCAGCAGCGGGUGGAAAAUGAGAUGGGCGACGCCAGAGGAACCAGAGAGAACUCUGACUCCCAUGUCUCCACCUUGUUUAUUUCAAAUAUGUUGAUAUUAGCU
rnacentral:lncRNA from 1 species